CCGGCUCUCCCGGGGGGCCCGGCUCCCCCUCAGGGCCCGGCUCCCCCUCAGGGCCCGGCUCUCCCGGGCCCGGGGCCGUGCGGCGCAGGCAGGGCUGCGGCUCGGGCUGUUUGUGGCGGGGGUCUCACAGAGAACAGCUGCAGAGCAUGAUAGCAACAGAAGCACGGAAAUGGAAGGCUGAGAUAGCAAAAAGGAAUCUGAACCCCGGAACUGGGACCCCAAUUGCAAACCCACACAAGCCCAGGACAAGAAGAGCCAAUGGUUUCACAGAAUAAAGGAGUAAGCAAACCAAGGGACUGGUACCAAGUGCUGGAGGAGUACAAGGAAGAAGCUGGAAAAGCAGCGCUCACUUGCUGGAUUCUUGUGGUUUAUGAUGGACACCAUUAAUGCCAGGCUGUACAUGUGCCAGGGAAUGUGCAGAAAUCUCAUCCUGAGCAUGUCCACAGAACCCAACGUGCUGCAGUGCAGGAGGCUGUUUCCAUCUUUCACAUCUUUGACAUUGUUAGAAAUCUUCAUACGGCCUCAUUUUACAAACUUAGGUUCAAAUUUCUCCCUUCUUCUCAACCUCCCUGUUGCUUUGGGGACCUGCAAUUCUUUCACCAUACCAAGAUCUCACUCUCAGGGAGCUGCUGUGGCCUGAGCCUGGAGAAGAGAAAAUCCCAGGGACAUGAAAGGAAUUGAUGAGACACCAGGCAUCUGACAAAAUAAAAUCUUCUUGGGAUAAACUGAGGAUAGCUUU
rnacentral:lncRNA from 1 species